GAUGAAGAACGCAGCGAAAUGCGAUACGUAAUGUGAAUUGCAGAAUUCAGUGAAUCAUCGAGUCUUUGAACGCACAUUGCGCCCCCUGGCAUUCCGGGGGGCAUGCCUGUCCGAGCGUCAUUUCUGCCCUCAAGCACGGCUUGUGUGUUGGGUGUGGUCCCCCCGGGGACCUGCCCGAAAGGCAGCGGCGACGUCCGUCUGGUCCUCGAGCGUAUGGGGCUCUGUCACUCGCUCGGGAAGGACCUGCGGGGGUUGGUCACCACUAUAUUUUACCACGGUUGACCUCGGAUCAGGUAGGAGUUACCCGCUGAACUUAAGCAUAUCAAUAAGCGGAGGA
rnacentral:misc_RNA from 1 species